UGACAUAGUUGUGAAAAGGGUUCCAAUGGCAGCGUGUGCCGCAAUGCUGUAGAUACGACAUAAAAGCUUCCUGUUUUGUUUACGCGCCCCGAUGAUACGAUGAUGACGGCACGUUUGUGUAGCUGUACGCUAAGAAGAAAAUAUUAAACUUUUAUGGCAGUCGUUAUUUUUUUUUAGUUAUUUUCUUAUGUUUUGGCCAGACGAUAGCGGCAAACGUGCCGUUUCGCGUUCUUCACCCUUUAGCACCACAACAAUGGGUGCCGGCGAGGCCGGCAUAGGCGGCAAACCGGCUUCAAGAAAAGUGUUUAUGCGGUGGCAUUAUUUCGUAUUUGCGUACAAAUAUUACACGCAAGGAAUGUAAAGAAAAAAGUUAAUUUUCCAUGAAAUUUAACACCUCCACAAAUUUUUAAUGUUAAAAAUCAAUUCGCUUCAAAAUACCACAUCACUUAAAAAUGUUCGUAAUGUAAACAAAGUUAUCUCGAAAUUGAAAGCACCGAGCGCACCAAGGUGAUGGACGUCCGACAAUCGGACAAACGUUACAAAACCGCACAAUGACGCGCCGAAGAAUAGAAGAUAUGCGAAGAUCGGCGGAAUCGACAACGGCGAGCUGAGCGAGAGAUUGAGUUGUGCUGCAAUCGGGAGCGUCGCAACGUUGGAUCUGUAUAUAAAACAGAAUUGUCCGGGAGUCCGUCACAUUCCGGCCGACGGGACGUUGUUUACAGCCACAUUAUAGCCGGCACGAUCGCGCAUUUAUCCUGCGUCCGCGAGACGCACUCUUCUGACCGCAUGUAAAUUCGCCUCUUGUAUUAUUCAGAAUCGCUAAGCAGAGCAGAGAAACACAUCGCAUUGUGUACCCGAUGUCGGAAACGUCACAGAAUUAAUUUGGAAUUCAAAAUUUGUCAAAACAGACGCCUCGACACCAGUCAAGAUUUACAUGCACUGCUGGUAUGGUAAACGGCGCUCAAACAGGUAAAAAGGUAUACGCAUACGGAUGGACGGCACAGGCAGGCACUCCCGCGCGCCAUAGUAAAUAAUUUAUAAUAUGCCUACACCAUUAAAACACGCGGGCAAAAGCAAUUUGCAAUUUGGUAUUGGAUGCAAAUUUGCAGCGCGGCAGGGUCGCCGCUGCCGCCAAGGUGAGUCAGCAAUUCAUCUUGUGCGCGCGCCGAGGCGCAGAGUUCCGCUAGUCUUCUUCGUCUGCACAAAUCUCAGAUGAAAUGCGAAACCUGCCGAGACAAGCGGACGUGAAUGGUAAUAAAGAGACAACCAUUAAAUUAAAUUAGACUGUUGGUAGUAAAAUACUAAAAUUAUUUCAAAAUCAAACAAUUGUUAAAAGCACUCAGUUUUUAAAGUUUAAGGCAACUCCAGUUAAUGGUAAUAUCUGGUAUGAAAUGUAUUGAUACUUGAGUUGUCUAAAUCCGAGAUGAUUACCUUUAAGAACUCGGACAUGUGUUACGUCUAACGUUUCACCAAGAAUGUAAAUCCACGCAAAGCCAACAAGACACAAUCAAUCGAACAGAGUGCAUAAGUCGGUCGUAUUCCAAGGCUGAGCGACGCUCAAUACAAUUUCGUAAUGUAACGUUUUCGAGAUUGUCAUGUACGUCAGGGCUUAAAUCGACCGAUCGCUCGGAUUAUGCAGUUCAUCAAGAUGUCAGUCAAUCGUACAAGAGAUUUUCGAGAUUUCACCGCAACCAAAGCACUCAACCUCUUUGGUGCGCGCGCUCGCGAAGAGUGUGUAGGUAAAUACACACAUGUGUAUGACUACACAACAUACCGGCGUACAUCGGCCUUUUCUCUAACAUCGCCUUGUUUGAACUAAAUAUGGAAAUAAAUUGCGCGUCGGCAUAUGCUCCACGGCGCUGUGCACACAGAGGAAAAACGUACGAGUUAUGGAAUAAAAUGUGCGCGGAUGUGUUUGGAGA